rnacentral:tRNA from 1 species
CUUGGAAUAGCUCAGUUGGUUAGAGUGUGGCUUUUAACCACAAGGUUGGAGGUAUAAUCCCUCCU